UGCUGCUCCUCAGCUGCAGUCCUUGGCAGCUCAGCACUGUUGUUCCGCUCAAACAAAAGGGCUAAUGAAAGUGUUUUAAUUAGCUGAUCAGCUAUUCAGAGGAAGGAAGGGCCCUGCUAGGUGUCCUUGGAGACUGGGAAUCACAACAUCCACAUCUAUUGACACUUCCCAGCGAGCUUCUGUGGGAUGAUGCUGCUGGGGUGUGCUCAGCCCCACAAGUCACUGCCUGCAGCUCCCAGAGCCUUUCCCUGGGCUUUCUGGAGGUGCAGAGGUGCUGCUGCUCCCCCUGUCCCGAGCAGGAGCUCCCUGCGUGGCUCUCAGAGGGAAGAUCUGCUGGGAAGUUGUUCCAAAAGUUUAUUAGAAGUUUAUUGUUUGCUAGCCUGCUCUGCCAGUCUGAAAAUCUUUCUGUGGCUGUAGCUUUUUAUAAAAGGAUUUGUUUGGAGAGCUGCAUUUCUGAUGGGAAUCCAAAUUUCAGGCAUUUUUUGUAAGAACCUCAUGUGCUCAACCCCCAGCAGUUUUCUGCCAGGGCAGACAAAACCAGGACUAAAGCUCCUUUAGGAACUGGGACCCUGGGGCAAAUCCCCCUUCCUGCCAUGGGGUGAGGAUGCCUUGGGUGUGGGAGCCAUGGGAAGGGACGUGGGGAGUGGAUGUGGUUGCCUGAAGGUAAGGAGAGGCUUGAUGCAGCUCUGAGCUGUGAAUUCCAGCAGUAAUCAGAGUUGUAUUAGUUAAGAGCAAUUAGCUCAUAGCAAAAGUAAGGAAAGAAGGUUGAGGGAGUAAGACAGAAUAUAUUGAAUUUCAGUUCCAUGUUGUGUUUAGAAAGGUGAAAUAUUUUCCGCUGCACUUAUUUUCUCACCAAAAUCAUAUAUUUAAAAAAAAUUAAAAAUAAAUGUACAAACCAAUUUCAAGUAAAUUCCCCCCAUCACCUGCCAGGCUUUGAGGCGGUGCCAGAAGAACUGACAGCAACUUUGGCUGCUGUGAUUUCAUACACAUGUCAAAGUCCAGCAGAGCAGAACUGGACGUUAGGACAAGCUGGGUCUUGUUGAGCACUUCCAUUUCUGCCAUUCCUCCCCAGUGCCCUCCCUCAGAGCUGCUGAGCUGUGGCACCAAAUGGCUGCACAGUGUCGCUUCACCUGAGGAGCAGCAGGGACUUACAGCAAAGAAUGUUCUUCCUUUGCUGAAAUAGAUCCUUAAAAAAUAUAAUCUGAAAUAAGAGAAGAGAAAGGGCCCACGGUGCAAGAAAACGUCCAUAUUGAAGAUGUAGAUUCUGUUCCUGCUUUGUGCCAGUGAAGCCUGAAGUCCUUGUGCUGCUGUCCGUGGCAAAUUAUGGAUCACCUCUUUUCUGACUCUUGUUAUUAUUAUCUCCUGUUACCUAUUCUUCCUUACCCUACUCAUCAUCUUCCCUCCUCUUCAUAGAAUGUUCUAAAAGAGAAAAUUACCAAGUUGGAGGGUCAGAUGAGUAGAAAAUUACGAGCUGCUCGUCCGUGUGCUCAGCCUUCGCCUGAGAUUGCAUCUGCUGCAGAGUGCUGGAGGAGGGAAUGGGCUGAGGAGCUGGGCAGAAACACCUCAGCACAGGAGGAAGGAGCAGGGAGCAGAGGCACCAGGUGUUUUUAAAGGUGAUUUCUGCAGUGCCAGGACCUUUUUUGGAUUUCAAUCCCUUGCUCUCGUGUGCUCCAGUCCCUCCCUGUGCAGUGCCAGCAGCAAUUUCACCAGCACACCCCUCCUCUGCCAUGCAAGUCGUUAAUGAAGAAAUUAAUAAUGCUCAGUUCGAGGGACUGAGGCAAUGAAGAGAGCUCUGAUUUGCAAAGCUGAAUAAAACAAAAGCACAGAGGAACCUGGCUGGGCGUGCUGACCUUCUUUUCAGUUUUCAAGCAACUCCAAACUGAAUCUCACUCAGAGCUGGCCGUGAUCCUUGUUUGCUCAUGCAGAGCCAUUAACCUCUAACUUACUGAAGCAAGCAAACUGUUAUUUGCUGGUAUAAAAUAACACCUCUGGCCUUCCUCAUUUUCUCCUGAGACAUCUGAAAAUGGAGUAACAACCUCGGAAUGACGUGUUCCAGCAACGACGAAGAAAUAAGACUUUGACAUUUCUGAACUUCAGGAGGACAUCUCCCUCUUUCCAGAAGAACAGGCCCAGGGAUGCUUUGCAUUAUGUCCACCAACAGAAGUUUACCAGCUUGGAGACAGCUCCUGAGAUUAAAUAAAUCACUUGAGUUCCCCGGAUGGCAAGGAGGGGACAGCAAUGUCCAUGAAGAGGUUCUGAACAGUUUGUUUCCAUGGAAAUUCCUGUGGCAGAAGAUGCACUCGUGCCCCAGGUGCCUCCCAAGGGAGCUCUGGACCUAAAAGGAUUUUCAGCUCCUCAGCCUGGAAUCCAUGGCCUCCCUUCCUUCUGGAAAAUGCAGAAACUCCUCUCAUGACUGAGGGCUCAAACAGCUCCACCUUCCAGGUUUGUUGGUUCAGGAACUCCUAAAAAGAGAUACAUGGUAAAGAGAACUUGUGGGUAAUGGGAUAACAAUGAAAAAUAAGUGAAAAAUAAGUGAAAAAUAAGUGAAUUGGUCAGCUAAAGCCUAUUUAUACCCCCAGUGUCUAAAGAACUGUAAUAAAAAGGUGUGUUAUUAUGUUUGUUUUAGCUUGGGUUGUAGGGAUUUGAUGUACAUUCUGUAAGUCAUUAAAUAAUUUUGUUGGGGCAUUGGAUCUCCACGUUGGUACUUUAUUACCACAGAUCACUUGGAAACAGGAAAGAGACCUAUGGAAUUGGAAAACAAUUUACAGUUUGUUGUUUUUUCAGUAACAAGCUCAUUUUAAACCCCAUUUUUAGCAAGAAAUAAUGACUUGCUUUAUUUAGAGACUAUUUAAAAUGCUCUCGAGGUAUCUACUGAAUAUCUUGACAUCACAGAUAAAUCAGGAGCAGGCUCAAAAUUAGCCCUGCACUGUUCUAUAUUACAAUAUGUUCUAUAUUACAGUUACAUACCCAGCCUUGUACAGUGCACCUCAGAGAGGGGAGGAGAGACAGGGUCUGUUCUCAGAGGUGUUUCUGGCAUCUGAGUGUCCUCGCCCCUGGGAAGCUGCCAGGGUUUGUCCUGACCCAGAGCUGGGGUUUGUGUGGGGAGGGUCUGAGCAGCCCCAGGUGCUGUUUUCUGGGCUGGUGUCCUCAGUGCUUUUGUUUUACAUCCAAAAGGGGCCAGCAGAGAGGUGGAUGCUCAUCUGAAGGGUAAGGAAAUUAAACUGACCUAAUUCCUGUCCUAAACAAUCAGGAGAAAACCUGCACUGUUCCAAUGGAAAACUGGGCACCAGGGUCUGGCUGUGGGAGCUGCUCCAGGGGCUGCUCCUGUGACCUGGGGCAAGAUUUGCUUUGUGAUGCCACAACCACUGAGCUGCUCCCUUAGUUAAUUAAAAUAUGCAUCAUUAACAGUUAGCUUUGUGCCUUCCCAAACUUGGCAGGUCCUUACUGGGAUGGGUGGGACGAACAGGAGCUUCCCAUCAAAGCCAGCCUCUGCUUCAGCCAUCUCUGGUCUCUUUUCCUGCCCGUGAUCCCUCAUCUCCUCCAGGCUCUGCUGAGAUUCCCCGGCCCAAAGGACCCCCCAGCCUUUGGGGGGACAGGACCUUUCCAGGGUGGGUUUUUUGCCCUCCCCA